CCCACUGCCCCUGCACCCGCAUCUCCUCUCUGCUCUCCCGCGCCCUAGGAUUAGCCACAGCCGUCGCCGCCGCCACCGCCACCGACCUUAUUCCGGCGAGCUCCGGCGGCCAUGGUCGGCGCGCAGCACGCUACCGAGCUCACCCCGCCCCGCUGCAUCGAUUCCUCUGGCCAGAUCCGUCCCUUCCUCCCUCGAACGCUCGCUCCCAACCCAUCCCUCUGCGGCUAGGGUUUGGUGCACGGCCUCAUCUCCGCCGCCGGCGUGCCUCCGGCGGUCCUCUACGCCUCCUCGCAUGGCUCCUCACGCGGCUGCGCCUGCUGGACGCCGCUUCUCCACCACAAGGCAGUGGCAGAGGAGGGCCUUAUCCACCACCACGCAACGGCAUCCAAGAAAACUAGUAGAAGGGGGUGAGGAAGGAGGAGAAAGACCAGAAGAAGGGCAAGGGAGGUGGGGCGAUCUGCAUGUCCAUGAAGCAGUAGGACGACAACGAGAGGAUGAGUACCUCGACGGCGACGACAACCAGGAGGAUGAACCCACCCACACUACUGGAAACAGGGAUGACGCGGUUCGGGAUCGCCGCGUGCUUCAACGCCACAUCGUCGGCCGUCUCGGAGGCCGCCGCAGUCAUGUUCUAGAUUGCCGCAGUCAUGUUCAAGUCCAAUGAUAUCUUGCGCAAGCAGACCGCUCUCAAGAUACAAUGGUCCGGCAAGCUGCUAUGGUGGUCAAGUGUGUGCUGCCUAGGAAAAUAGAUAUUUAGUUUUAGGUCAUUUCUUGUAAUUUCAGAUAUGGAGUGCUUGUGUUUAGUUUUUG